UAAAGGAACGUAUUUAUCCUGAGAAGAAGAAGGAGUCCUCAAUAAGGACCUAUUUUGUAACUCGAAGGUUACGAUUGAAAGCCCAACAUAGUACGAAGAGCAGGUGCAAGAUUGAGCAUCACGGUGAUUACUUAGGAUGGAAGGAUGACAUAUGGAAUCAUUAUACAAGCCCUAUUUCGUUGAUGAUUCCGGGACGUAAUCAUCCUAAGGGGGAGAUAAUUGUAACGCCCGUAGAUCAGGGCUAGUCAAUUUAAAGACGAUAAGCGUCAAAAAUAUUAGUUUCUGAUAGAAGAUUAUUUAGAAUGAAUAAUCUUAACUAGGUUAUAGUAUAUGUAACAAGGAUUCCGUACAUAUAAAGAACGUCGAAAUCCGAAUUAUAACGAAGAAGUUAUGACCUGUCGAAGUUUCGCGACAGAACCGACACGACGUUGAAUGACGUAAAAAGUGAAUUUAUUUUAGAGCGAUAUUUAGCCUUAGUGAUCUAAACGAAAGUUGUAGAGUUCGUUAAACCGUGAGCGUGCAUAAAAAGAACGUCCAAAUCUGACUUCGUAUGAGGAAGUUAUGAUUUUUCUAAGUUUCAGCUUAGCAGUAUGCAGCCCGAAUACUCGAUUUGAGAUCGAGCGGUUUUUAGCCAAAACAAUCUAAACGAGAAUCGAAGAUCUCGUCAAUUGUAGUGAAACGAUAAAAAUAUAGGCGAAAACGGACGUCGGAUGAAGAAGCUAUGAAUUUAUAACAGAGUUUUCCAGUCCCGGCCUACUAAAAUUAAUAUAAUAAAAAUAAAGUCAAAAUUAGGCAAUGGAGUCUAAACGAAAGUUGUAGAGCGUAGUCUCACUUACGCGUGGAUAUAAAGAACGUCAAAAACGGAGCUCGUAUGCGAAAGUUAUGCAAUUUAGAAGUUCGACGAGUCAAAUUACGCCCAGCGUAAUUUGAGUACGCCCAACAUACUCAGUCGGAUGCAACUUGUCUGACCAAUACUCGAGUGCCACCAGUCGACGCACGUAAUGACGUCAAAGUACGCCAUGCGUAAUUUGAGAUUACGCCCCGCGUAAUCCCAGAUCCUCAGCCUAUAAAUAGAACUCGAAAUCAGCCAUUUUCUCUUGUUCAAACUCUUUCUUCUCUCUAGUUUUUGCCUCGUUUUGCGUGCCGUUUAUACCCUGAAGCUCGGAUAAUAUUUCCGAGCCUCGAAGCAAGAUCCGAAGCCCCGAGGAUCCCGAAGAGCGUUAUUCCCGAGCCGAAGCGUUGCCCGCGAAGAGCCGGUUUUUGUGAAAAUCUUCCAGAUCUACGGAGAAACACUACUUCUGCAAGCCGUAGUGCUGCCCGAUCAUCUUCUGAUCAAGUGAGUGUAUAGUCACUUUCAUCUUACACAUAAAUAUGAAGUAUUUUAUAAAAUACGUGCUAUGUGUUAUAUAUUAAUUAUCUAUUUGAGAUGGAUUUGGAAUUGAUGUUUUUAUACGGGUGUUAAAUGAUUUAAAUUGUGUUUGUAUUUAUAUCUACAAAAAUGUUGGGUAGAACAUGGGUAGAUGGAAUAGUUGGUGACGAUGCGACUUCGUGCCUAUUGAGUAAGCCUUGGUGACGAUGCGACUUCGUGCCUAUUUGAUAAACCUUGGUGACGAUGUGACUUCGUGCCUUUUGUGUAAACCCAGGUGACUAUGAGACGUAGUGCCUAUUGUGUAAACCCUGGUGACUAUGAGACGUAGUGCCAAUUGUAUGAACCCUGGUGACUAUGCGACGUAGUGCCUGUUGUAUAAACCGUGGUAGCAAAUGGACUGUGUGCCAGUUCCUUAGGUAAACCCUUAGGAAUGAAUGAAGAAAGUAUAAUCGAUUCUUAGGGUAAAACCUUAAUAAAUAAAGAAGAUAAUGGGGAUGGGUAUUUGGGUUGAUUGUUGAUAAUUGAAUAUAAUAAAUGUAUUAUUGUGGGUUGAAAACCCUAUAUGCUCACCAGGCUCCCAAGCCUGACCCACUCAGUUUUCUUUGUAUCACAGGUAUCAAUACGAAGACAUAUUUCACUGAGAGAAUAAAGGAGAUGUAAAUCAUUAGUGUAAAUAAAUGUAAGUUCUGUUUAUGCUUAUGUGUCUGUAUCGGAACAUGACAUCCCGAGAUUUUGUUAUAUAAUGAAAAUACUUUUCUUUAAGAAAUGCUUUGAUAAAUUCUUAUCAUAUUUUUUUUAUUUUGGGGACAAAUUCCGCAACAAUUUUCUUUAAACGAUUACUCUGAUUUUAAAAACAAAGCAUAAACAAAUCGGUCUUUUCUGGCCAUGAAAUUGGGGAUGUCACAGUUGGUAUCAGAGCAUUAGUUUAAGCGAACUAGGAAUUUGUAGGAAAUUUCUAGACUUAAACUUAGAAUGCUAAGUAAUGAUUGUGAGGAGUGUGUCUAAAAUAUGUUAGGUAGUACACCUAAAUUGACACAAGCACUAGUUUAUUUUAGGAAUGAUGCCUAAAAUGCUUUUAUGUGCAAAAUGUUUUGUGUGAUAGCUAUAUUGAUGCUAUUAUUUGUUCGGAUCUAUGGUCUGUUGCCGACCGGAUCUGGAAACCUUAUGUGUUUAGGAUUCUAAGCGUAUGGCUACGAUAUUAGAACUAGCAUAUAAACGUUUCGGAGUGAUAAGGACGAUUUGAAUAUCUAUCGUGAAUGAGGAUCUAAUUUCACCUUAUUCGGUGUGUAGAUCAAAAAUGGUGAGAACAAGAAGUGGAGUUGGAAAUGCUGAUGAAAACAGGAAUCAACCGUCUGUAAUUCAACAAGUACCUCUUGUAGCUGCUGCACCUGAACCGAUAACAAUGGCUGGUGUACAAUUGAUGAUUCAGACGAUGUUGGAUCGUCAGAUGGAAGAAACUAGACGUCUGCUUCAACAAAAUCGUGAAGAACUUUCAAUCCAAGUUGAAGAGCCCGAAGUGAAUGGAGGGCCAUCGGAAGGUGGAAACUUCAGUGGUACCGUUGGUCAAGCCAACCCACCAAUUGUUAGACAAAACAAUUGUGAUGGAGGAAAUGAUGGAAGAGGAUGUAAAUACAAGGAUUUCAUGGCAUCCAAACCACCGUGUCUAUCUGGGAGCCCGACGCCGGUGCAAGUCAUGGACUGGAUCUCCGAGAUGGAGACAAUGUUUGAAAGUUGCGAGUGUAGUAACAGACAGAAGACCGCUCUUGCAAUUCCUCUAUUAAAAUCUGGAGUACUGAGCUGGUGGAAGUUACUGGCCGGUUCGAUGCCCAAGGGGGAAGCUAGCAAGAUGUCUUGGGAGGAGUUCGUGGUACAAUUGAAAAUGCAAUACUGCUCUGAGCAGGAUCUCCUGGAAAUCAACAAUGAGUUCCAGAAUCUGAAGAAGGGAAAAUUGAGCAUCACUGAAUACGCCACAAGCUUUACGGAAAAGAUGAAGCUUAUUCCAUACCUACUUCCAACUGAACUUUCCAAGGUCAACAAGUUUUCCAAUGGAUUACCAGCGGACUUUGGUUCGAUAGUCAAGCAAGCAACCACUUUGAAAGCCGCCAUCUGGGCAGCCAAAAAUGUUGAAACCCAAAUAAAAGAAAAGGGUCUGGAGAGAGCUGAAGUUAGAGAGAAGAGGAAACAUAAAGGAUCUUCAAUAAUCAACAAAGAAACCAAAUUCUCGAAAUCUGGAGGAAGAGAUGAAGCUAAGUGGUGCGAGAAGUGUAAAAAGAAACACUUCGGGAAGUGUAGCGAGGAUAUGACUUGCUACAAAUGUGGGAAGACGGGGCAUUACGCCAACAAGUGCGCAUCCAACAAAAAGGUGUGCUACGGAUGUAACGAGGAAGGGCAUAUUUCUGGAGACUGCCCAAAGAAAAACGCACCGCCACAGCCAAGGGCAUUCCACAUGAUCCUCGACGAAGUGAAUCAAGGAUGAGGAAUUUAUAUCCAAGGAUCAACUUAUGAUGUAGCCAAUUAAAGGCAUAGUAUAGGGUGAACUUGAACUUUUGUGUAAUCAUUUCAAGUUAUAUUGUAAACCCUGGUUUUGAUAUUUAUGUGAUAUUUAUGGUUUUAGUACCUGAUGUGUUAAAUGAUUGUGUGAUUUUUGUAUAGUGACUUGGUUCGACUGAGAGACAAUACUUGGGACGAGUAUGAGUAGGUGUGAAAGGCAGUAGAUCAUAUACUACCGGAAGCACUGGACUCACACUUGGAUCAGGGAAAGUCACAAGGUUACCAAGAAGCUAGUGAAUGAUUCCGUUUUAUUUGGAUAUGUCAUUACCCUUGUUUCGGAAAUGACUAGUAAGAUGGUUAUAGUUCCGACCCUAGUGGUAAUAUCCAAUUGGAGUCUGACUAUGGUGAGUAUGUUACGUGGUUCGGAGAACCUAGUUCGAAGUAACAUCGGACGUAAGUCAGAAGAUUGAAGUUAAUGCGAUCAUUGGUAUCGUACUCGUUGUUCAUAAAGUUUGUAGNGUGCUGAAAUGUGAUUAUAUCACAUUAGAAUAUGAAGGAAGGUAUAUUCCAUUUUGGAAUUUAACUCUAAGAGACCAAAGUCUAAGCAUUACAUCAUGCGAUGAGAGGUCAGUAGAGCACGACCCAUCGGUCUGUUACAAUAGAUAAAGGAACGUAUUUAUCCUGAGAAGAAGAAGGAGUCCUCAAUAAGGACCUAUUUUGUAACUCGAAGGUUACGAUUGAAAAGCCAACAUAGUACGAAGAGCAGGUGCAAGAUUGAGCAUCACGGUGAUUACUUAGGAUGGAAGGAUGACAUAUGGAAUCAUUAUACAAGCCCUAUUUCGUUGAUGAUUCCGGGACGUAAUCAUCCUAAGGGGGAGAUAAUUUUAACGCCCGUAGAUCAGGGCUAGUCAAUUUAAAGACGAUAAGCGUCAAAAAAAUGAGUUUCUGAUAGAAGAUUAUUUAGAAUGAAUAAUCUUAACUAGGUUAUAGUAUAUGUUACAAGGAUUCCGUACAUAUAAAGAACGUCGAAAUCCGAAUUAUAACGAAGAAGUUAUGACCUGUCGAAGUUUCGCGACAGAACCGGCACGACGCUGAAUGACGUAAAAAGUGAAUUUAUGUUAGAGCGAUAUUUAGCCUUAGUGAUCUAAACGAAAGUUGUAGAGUUCGUUAAACCGUGAGCGUGCAUAAAAAGAACGUCCAAAUCUGACUUCGUAUGAGGAAGUUAUGAUUUUUCUAAGUUUCAGCUUAGCAGUAUGCAGCCCGAAUACUCGAUUUGAGAUCGAGCGGUUUUUAGC
rnacentral:lncRNA from 1 species